rnacentral:rRNA from 1 species
UACGGGGGGGGCAAGCGUUGUUCGGAAUUACUGGGCGUAAAGGGCGCCUAGGCGGUUUGCUAAGUUGGAUGUGAAAACUCUGGGCUUAACCCAGAGCCUGCAUCCAAAACUGGCAAACUUGAGUACUGGAGGGGAAAGCGGAAUUCCUGGUGUAGCGGUGAAAUGCGUAGAUAUCAGGAGGAACACCGGUGGCGAAGGCGGCUUUCUGGACAGUAACUGACGCUGAGGCGCGAAAGCUAGGGGAGCAAACAGG